rnacentral:snoRNA from 1 species
GUUGAGGUCUAUCCCGAUGGGGCUUUUUCUGUAGACCCACAUCGUUGGAAACGCCUCAUAGAGUAAUCAUGUGGUUUCCUUUACUCACAGAACUAUGUGUUAGAUCUGUGGGAAAGAACUACAAGACAGCU